rnacentral:tRNA from 1 species
AGGAGUGUAGCUCAGCUGGUAGAGCAUCGGUCUCCAAAACCGAGGGUCGUGGGUUCGAAUCCCUCCACUCCUGCCA